GGUGAAAUGGCUGAUAAUAGGUGGUAGACUGUAAAUUUAUUUAUGAGAAAAAAUUCUCUUUCACCA
rnacentral:tRNA from 1 species